UCAUUCCGAACUCUUUCGGGGGGACGUUUGACGGAAUGAGCGGCGGACGGGUGAGUAACACGUAAAGAACCUGCCCUCAGGUCUGGGAUAACCACGAGAAAUCGGGGCUAAUACCGGAUGGGUCAUCGGACCGCAUGGUCCGAGGAUGAAAGGCGCUCCGGCGUCGCCUGGGGAUGGCUUUGCGGUGCAUUAGCUAGUUGGUGGGGUAACGGCCCACCAAGGCGACGAUGCAUAGCCGACCUGAGAGGGUGAUCGGCCACACUGGGACUGAGACACGGCCCAGACUCCUACGGGAGGCAGCAGUAGGGAAUCUUCCACAAUGGACGAAAGUCUGAUGGAGCAACGCCGCGUGAACGAUGAAGGCCCUCGGGUCGUAAAGUUCUGUUGUAAGGGAAGAACAAGUGCCGCAGGCAAUGGCGGCACCUUGACGGUACCUUGCGAGAAAGCCACGGCUAACUACGUGCCAGCAGCCGCGGUAAUACGUAGGUGGCAAGCGUUGUCCGGAAUUAUUGGGCGUAAAGCGCGCGCAGGCGGCCUCUUAAGUCUGAUGUGAAAGCCCCCGGCUCAACCGGGGAGGGCCAUUGGAAACUGGGAGGCUUGAGUAUAGGAGAGAAGAGUGGAAUUCCACGUGUAGCGGUGAAAUGCGUAGAGAUGUGGAGGAACACCAGUGGCGAAGG
rnacentral:rRNA from 1 species